AUUGAACGCUGGCGGCAAGCUUAACACAUGCAAGUCGAGCGGGGUGAUGGUGCUUGCACUAUCACUUAGCGGCGGACGGGUGAGUAAUGCUUAGGAAUCUGCCUAUUAGUGGGGGACAACAUCUCGAAAGGGAUGCUAAUACCGCAUACGUCCUACGGGAGAAAGCAGGGGAUCACUUGUGACCUUGCGCUAAUAGAUGAGCCUAAGUCGGAUUAGCUAGUUGGUGGGGUAAAGGCCUACCAAGGCGACGAUCUGUAGCGGGUCUGAGAGGAUGAUCCGCCACACUGGGACUGAGACACGGCCCAGACUCCUACGGGAGGCAGCAGUGGGGAAUAUUGGACAAUGGGGGGAACCCUGAUCCAGCCAUGCCGCGUGUGUGAAGAAGGCCUUAUGGUUGUAAAGCACUUUAAGCGAGGAGGAGGCUCUUUUGGUUAAUACCCAGAAUGAGUGGACGUUACUCGCGGAAUAAGCACCGGCUAACUCUGUGCCAGCCGCCGCAGUAA
rnacentral:rRNA from 1 species